rnacentral:lncRNA from 12 species
GUCGCACUUUGGUGCACGUCUCCCGAGCAGCCCCGGCAGCCCCUGGGCUCCGCCGUAAUAUACCCGUCUCCGAGGAUGCGCCUGUUGGGCUAAAUAUAGCGCGUGUCCUGGCGGUGACGCGGCCCACGGCCGGUAAUUGAUGCUCGCGUCCCCCCUCCCACGCUCCUGCACAGGCUCUGCUGGAUUCCGUCCCUGAAUUAAUUUGUGGUAAUCUGGUCCCCAAAUAAAUAACUUUCGUCUUUACGCGGCACGCUGGGUUUCAUGAGGAGCAAUAUGCAGCCCCGACAACGGGCGCUUUGCACAGGACCAGGGGACGCGUGUGCGCCGCAUCUACAAUUCAAAUGCGGGGGUGAGGGCUGAAGGCAUCAAUCUGUCCCCGUCUGCCUGCCGCAUCCAGGCCCAGCCGGAGGGGGGGCUGUGGGCACGGCCCCCCAAGAAGAUUUGGAAGCAGUGACAAGUGGAGAGACCUGAUGGCCUUCGUCCUGGGGGCUUGAUGCGCGGGCUGCGGGCAGAGCGCGAGGUCAGGAUGGAGGUGCCGCGCGUGAGGAGAGAACUCACGAUACUCUACAGAGACACUGGAUGGAAGUGCAACUAUUCAAGGAGAUCCACUGCUACUUAGCCUGAAAUAUUCUCCAAAACCAAUUUGGUUGGAUUAAAUUGAGAAGCAAAGAGGAAGAAGAGGUUGGUUUAUGUGGGAAAGUCAACAUAAUGUGGGUGACACCCCUCAAAGGGGCAAGGCCCUUAUCACCCAAAUGCUAGUGGGCCCAUGGGGCACCUGGUGACUGUUGCCCAAUCAGAAGGAAAUGCAAAAACUCCACAAGUCUGACUGGCAUGGGCAGACCAAGCUAUGCUUGUAGAAAUGACUCACUUUAGAGGGAAAUUUGUACCCAAAGCUCCUGGAAUGCACAGGGGAGUGUUUGGGGGCAGCAGGGUAAGGAGGUGAUUAAUGGAACCUGGUACCUGUUCAUGUCAGCACAGAUUUUGCAUGUUUUUCAUGAAAAGUAGAAAUUAGAGGGUGUAAAGUUUUCAGAGAAAUCCUCCUCGAACCUUGGGCCCCAUCCCACAGCACUUCCUAAUAGAGGACUUUCCCAACAUCACCCCUUUCCUGGGCAGCUCUCCCCAGGCCCCGACUUUCUCGGCAUUCUGUCACCACCUUGCUUGCUCAUAGUCAUGUGUACGCUUUGUACCCUUGCCAGAGGCAGACCCCUAGAGGAGGGGGCUCCAUCUUUUCCACCUUUAUAGUCCCAGAGAAACCUAACUCAGUGUUUUAUGUAAGGAAGCUACUCAACAGUAGCUUGGUAUAGUAUUGGUUGGUAUAGAUUUGUAUUGAUAUAAACAAGUUUUGUAAUAUUUUAAAACAUUGGUUGGUAUAGAUAAUAAUUUGUAUUGAUAUAAAUAAGUUUUGUAAUAUUUUAAAACAUUAAAAUCCCCCCAACAUGAACAUAGACAAUAAUAAAACACUGAAAAAGAGGUUCUUCUCA